rnacentral:rRNA from 1 species
ACGAGGGAUCCUAGCGUUGUUCGGAAUCAUUGGGCGUAAAGCGGGUGUAGGUGGCUUUGUAAGUCAGGUGUGAAAGCCUAGGGCUCAACCCUAGAAGUGCAUUUGAUACUGCAAAGCUUGAGUGCUAGAGAGGUUACUAGAAUUGUUGGUGUAGUGGUGAAAUACGUAGAUAUCAACAGGAAUACCGGUGGCGAAGGCGGGUAACUGGCUAGACACUGACACUCAGACCCGAAAGCGUGGGGAUCAAACAGGA